rnacentral:rRNA from 1 species
GGCUUAGAGUUUGAUCAUGGCUCAGGAUGAACGCUGGCGGCGUGCCUAACACAUGCAAGUCGAGCGAAGCACUUUACUUAGAAUCUUUCGGGAGGAAGAGUUUUGUGACUGAGCGGCGGACGGGUGAGUAACGCGUGGGUAACCUGCCUCACACAGGGGGAUAACAGUUAGAAAUGACUGCUAAUACCGCAUAAGACCACAGCACCGCAUGGUGCAGGGGUAAAAACUCCGGUGGUGUGAGAUGGACCCGCGUCUGAUUAGCUAGUUGGUGAGGUAACGGCUCACCAGGGCGACGAUCAGUAGCCGGCCUGAGAGGGUGGACGGCCACAUUGGGACUGAGACACGGCCCAAACUCCUACGGGAGGCAGCAGUGGGGAAUAUUGCACAAUGGGGGAAACCCUGAUGCAGCGACGCCGCGUGAGUGAAGAAGUAUUUCGGUAUGUAAAGCUCUAUCAGCAGGGAAGAAACUGACGGUACCUGACUAAGAAGCACCGGCUAAAUACGUGCCAGCAGCCGCGGUAAUACGUAUGGUGCAAGCGUUAUCCGGAUUUACUGGGUGUAAAGGGAGCGUAGACGGAUGUGCAAGUCUGGAGUGAAAGCCCGGGGCUCAACCCCGGGACUGCUUUGGAAACUGUAUAUCUAGAGUGCUGGAGAGGUAAGUG